UAAUAGCCCCGAUCGUACUGGAAAUCCUUUUUUGCCAGACUUCAGGCUGGUAAAAAAGAUUGUAGGGAAGAGCGGGACGGGUC
rfam:Chryseobacterium chaponense strain DSM 23145 genome assembly, contig: Ga0111693_117